CAGUAGCCGCGGUAAUACAGAGGGUGCAAGCGUUAAUCGGAAUUACUGGGCGUAAAGCGCGCGUAGGUGGUUUGUUAAGUUGGAUGUGAAAUCACCGGGCUCAACCUGGGAACUGCAUCCAAAACUGGCAAGCUAGAGUAUGGUAGAGGGUGGUGGAAUUUCCUGUGUAGCGGUGAAAUGCGUAGAUAUAGGAAGGAACACAAGUGGCGAAGGCGACCACCUGGACUGAUACUGACACUGAGGUGCGAAAGCGUGGGGAGCAAACAGGAUUAGAUACCCCAGUAGUCCCUGUCUCUUAUAC
rnacentral:rRNA from 1 species